rnacentral:snRNA from 1 species
UUUAUAUAAAAGAUAGAA